AUGGCAGGUUCUAGAUCGAGUGUUCAUGGAGAAAACCAUGGGGAAGAAGAUGCCCCGGUCACACGUGCCGAACUGCAGCGACUCGAGAACAACUUACUCCAAACCAUGGAAAGGAUACUUCAGGGGCGUCCUCCAGCAGGUGGUGAUAGGGUUCGACACCGACAGCACCCU
rnacentral:rRNA from 1 species